UACGGAGGGUGCAAGCGUUAUCCGGAUUCACUGGGUUUAAAGGGUGCGUAGGUGGGCAGGUAAGUCAGUGGUGAAAUCUCUGGGCUUAACCCGGAAACUGCCGUUGAUACUAUCUGUCUUGAAUGUAGUGGAGGUGAGCGGAAUAUGUCAUGUAGCGGUGAAAUGCUUAGAUAUCGUUUGGAACGCCAAUGGUGAAAACAGGUUGCUGGAAGUGUGCUGACGCUGAGACACGAAAGCCAGGUGAGCAAACGGG
rnacentral:rRNA from 1 species